rnacentral:lncRNA from 1 species
AUGAGCUCCUAGAUUCAUCAGAAUUAUUCUACCAAGGUGGAGACAGCUGUCAACCACCUGGUCAAUUGGCAUCUGCAGGCCUUCUACACCUACCUCUCUCUGGCCUUCUAUUUCAACUGCAGACAUGUGGCUCUGGAAAGCAUGGGCCACUUUUUCUACAAAUUGUCCAAGGAAAGGCACGAGGACACCAAGUGUCUCUUGAAGACGCAAAACCAGCAUGGGAGCCACAUUGUCUUCCAAGACAUCCAGCAGCCAUCUCAACAUGAGUGGGUAAAACCCUGGACACCAUGGAGGCCACCACAGUCCUGGAGAAGAACCUGAUCCAGGCCCUUUUGGAGCUUCAGGCCCGGGGUUCUGCCUACACAGACCCCCAUCUCUGUGACUUCCUAAAGAGCGUCUUCAUAGAUGAGGAAGUGAAACUCAUUAAAAAGAUGGGCAAUCACCCGACCAACCUCUUCAGGCUGUCUGGCCCCCAGGCCGACUGGACCAGUGUCUCUUUGAAAGGCUCAACCUUAAGCACAUCUAG